CGAAAGCCUGACGGAGCAACGCCGCGUGAGGGAGGAAGGCCUGUGGGUUGUAAACCUCUUUUCUCAGGGAAGAAGUUCUGACGGUACCUGAGGAAUCAGCAUCGGCUAACUCCGUGCCAGCAGCCGCGGUAAGACGGAGGAUGCAAGCGUUAUCCGGAAUUAUUGGGCGUAAAGCGUCCGUAGGCGGUUCAGAAAGUCUGCUGUUAAAGCUCACAGCUCAACUGUGAAUCGGCAGUGGAAACUUCUGGACUAGAGAGUGGUAGGGGUAGAGGGAAUUUCCAGUGGAGCGGUGAAAUGCGUAGAUCUUGGAAAGACCACCAAUGGCGAAGGCACUCUACUGGGCCAUUACUGACACUGAGAGACGAAAGCU
rnacentral:rRNA from 1 species